GAGAAAACCAAGAUUCAGAGAUGGACUUGCUCCAGGAAGAGCUGGAGAUCAAAGGGCAGGAGCUGAACCAGCCGUGGUCAUCCUCUACUCCGCGUAGACAGCACAUUCAGGGGAUCUGUCACUAUUUUGUGGCUGAACUGGGGAACAAUCGAAGAACGUGGAAGAUAGAUGGGGUACUGGUUGGCCUACAUCCGGAACAGAGGUAAGAAGAGCCCCUUCUGUGUGUGUGUGUGUGUGUGUGUGUGUGUGUGUGUGUGGUGUGGUUGGGGGUGGGGCAUGAGUUCCUCUUCUUUGUAUCUUAGAAGGAUCAUCAGACCUUUUCUAGAAUCACCAGCAUCUUUGUAGACAUCACAGGAAGCUGACAACCAUGGCCUCCAAAUCUGGCUGCCAUAUUGAGUAAGGACCUAGGUUGAGAACAUGGGCCGUAUUACUGAUGAUGACUUCUCAGCUUUCCUGACAAAGUGAUCAUUGAUCAAAAUCAAAGUGCACAGAAAACUGUAGGUAGUUUUUACAAGGACUUAGGUUGCAUUCAUCCCUAGAAGGCAAAUAUGGCUUCUCUCAGAGUAGUGGGGACUGGUAAUGCUGCGACUUUGGCUUGGAGCUCAGAACCCUCUCCCUUUGUUUCCUUACGGUUGGUUUCCUGAGCAUCUUUCUGUGCUGGAUGCUGUGCUAAGCUGAGGUAGGAAAUUCAAUGUAGCUUUGGUCUCUGCCUUUAAGAAUCUUAGUCUAACAACCUAAAAAAAAUAUACACAUUUCAUAAGGUGUUAGAUGUUUGCUUUCUUUGCAGUAAGUCGAUCCAUUCUAAAUUUGUCAUUGAGGAUCCAGGACGAAUCUGCUCUUGUUUGUACAGUAUCGUUUUUAUGACUAAUAAACUACUGCAUGCAUGCGGCAUUUUAUUUCACAGUGCACCAGGUCUUUUCCACUCUGUCUAAAUUGGCCUGCCCUGAUUGCCUGGGCUUUAGGGUGCAGUUAGAAUUAUCCUCAUUUUGAAAUAAGGAAACCAAAGCACAGAGAGGGGAGUCUUCUCAAGGUCAUGGCGAUUGAUUCUGAUGAAGGAUGAGAUCAUAUGGGUAAGUGUGUCUGAGGACAUGGCAAGAACUUAGUCAUGUGUGGAAUCUUGAGCUGAACCUUCAGAGUGAGAUCACUGUCCCCAUCCAGCCUGCUCCUUCACUUAGAAGGGAAGGGCAUCCCUUCGUGGUCACAAACUGAAUUCUACUUGUGAGUUUGCUGUAGUCUGGUUGAUUUCAACCCAUUCUGUUGGUCUUGAGGCCAAUUCAUUUUCCCCGUAGCUGUCUCCCUCUGUUCCCAGGGUUGUCCCCAUGGUUGUUCCCAGGUGUUCCUGGGUCCCUCCACUGUACUGUGUCUGCCAGAGGCUGCUGCUCCUCAUCUCAUGGGUCCUCCUCCUUAGCAGCUCAUCAUAUUCCAGAAGACUCUCUUCUGGAGGGCCUGGAGGUGAAUGGAUCUGCUCAAGGUGGCCAGUGGAACGUGAACGAGAGCCUACAGGAGUCCUUGUGCCGAGGCCCCCUCUGUGCUGUGCCAUCUACUCUGGCUUCCCUUUCCCUGCAUCUGCCACCUCCAAACAAUAUGGGCCACAGGUGCAGCUUGCCAAGGAAGGCGUGAAGCAGGGAGGAAUGGGAACCCUGGUGUCCCCUCUGAGCCAGCUCCAAUGGGCUGCCGAGGGCUGCAGGGCUGCGUUACGAUGGAUCCAGAGGCUAAGUGGCCUCCAUGGGGACGCGUCCCCUGACCACUCUACCUGGCACGAGCGGGCUGCUGGCCACCCACAAUGGAGCUUCAGCAAAAGGGUCCUUCUCUGGGGGUGGAGUUCAGAUGUGAUGUAGCUGGAGACGGAAGGGGGUUGCCACCUACGUAGGACCCACCUUCUCCCCAGCCUCCUCCUGGCCCGUCACCCAAAGAACCCAAAUCUCAAACUGAAUUUUUAUUAUUU